rnacentral:rRNA from 1 species
CGGCGCGCCUAACACAUGCAAGUCGAACGAGCGAGAGAGAGCUUGCUUCUCGAGCGAGUGGCGAACGGGUGAGUAACGCGUGAGGAACCUGCCUCAAAGAGGGGGACGAACAGUUGGAAACGACUGCUAAUACCGCAUAAGCCCACGGGUCGGCAUCGACCAGAGGGAAAGGAGCAAUCCGCUUUGAGAUGGCCUCGCGUCCGAUUAGCUGGUUGGUGAGGUUAACGGCCCACCAAGGCAACGAUCGGUAGCCGGACUGAGAGGUUGAACGGCCACAUUGGGACUGAGACACGGCCCAAACUCCUACGGGAGGCAGCAGUGGGGAAUAUUGCACAAUGGGGGAAACCCUGAUGCAGCGACGCCGCGUGAGUGAAGAAGUAUUUCGGUAUGUAAAGCUCUAUCAGCAGGGAAGAAAGUGACGGUACCUGAAUAAGAAGCCCCGGCUAACUACGUG